CUGUAGGAUUAAUGUCUGCUUUCCUCACCAAAGACCCUAGAAUGGAAAACUGAGCCCCACCCCCAGAGAAAAAUGUUGCCUUUCUAAGACACUAAGCCCUGGAGCCCUGCCUCCCCAGUCACCUGGCCUCAUUUUUCCUGCUUCUCUGGAUUUGUCCCUCCAUAUCCCACAUGAGUAAUGCAGUUAUUGGAGAACACACAGCCUUCUGUGAAGAAGGGACUGGCUGCCAUCCACAUGAAAGCUACUGGAGUAAGCUGAUAUCUAGCUAGUCUGUGGACAAAAGGAGAAAGAGCAACUGGGACAAUUCAAAUGGCCACAGAAGAGACUGCGCCAACACCUGACGUACUGUGGCAAUUAUUAUAAACCAGAGAGCCAAAUGUUGGCAGUGUCUAAAAGGACAGGAAAACCAGUUCUUUUCAGAGAUUUCCAUAAUAUCUGUUCUUUCAAAAAACAAGUUACAUUGAGGAAAAAAUAUCAUACUGGCUACUAAGUAAAAUGGAAAAAA